rnacentral:rRNA from 1 species
UACGAGGGGGGCUAGCGUUGCUCGGAAUCACUGGGCGUAAAGCGCACGUAGGCGGCUUGUUAAGUCAGGGGUGAAAUCCUGGAGCUCAACUCCAGAACUGCCUUUGAUACUGAAGAUCUUGAGUUCGGGAGAGGUGAGUGGAACUGCGAGUGUAGAGGUGAAAUUCGUAGAUAUUCGCAAGAACACCAGUGGCGAAGGCGGCUCACUGGCCCGAUACUGACGCUGAGGCACGAAAGCGUGGGGAGCAAACAGG